GCCUGCAUAGCAUAGUGGUUUGAGUGUUGGACUAUGACUCUGGAGUCUAGGGUUCAAUUCCCACUCAGUCA